UACGAAGGGGGCUAGCGUUGCUCGGAAUCACUGGGCGUAAAGGGUGCGUAGGCGGGUCUUAAGUCAGGGGUGAAAUCCUGGAGCUCAACUCCAGAACUGCCCUUCGAUACUGAGAGUCUCGAGUCCGGGAGAGGUGAGUGGAACUGCGAGUGUAGAGGUGAAAUUCGUAGAUAUUCGCAAGAACACCAGUGGCGAAGGCGGCUCACUGGCCCGGUACUGACGCUGAGGUGCGAAAGCGUGGGGAGCAAACAGGG
rnacentral:rRNA from 1 species